UUCCAUCCUGCCGUCGUAAGCGAUAAGUUCCUGGCCUUAUCUCUUCGUCGACGAUGUAUGGACCCUCGAAGUUGGAUGACAACUUAUUCCUUGGUCUAUUCCUUUCGGUGAUACUAGCCUUCCGCGUGACGAGGGUUCCCGGCAGAAAUACUUUUUUGCGUACUUGGCGAUUGUGGUAUCGUGAUACGCUGGCCUUGUACGAUUC
rnacentral:lncRNA from 1 species